GGAAAUUGAAGCUCAGAGUAAGAGCUGUGAGAAAUAAAACUCCCUCAAGGAAAGAUGCUUUGAUUUCUUUGAAGUAAUUUCAUUUUCUGCUACCAAAAGUCAUUUCAGAGACAGGUAAAAUACUUAUUUGCAAUGAGUCAAGCUGAACCUACUACACACUCAAUUCCUACUUGAAAUUCAAAUAACAGCUUUGUGCACAUAAAUUCUUAAAAGCAAAACAAAAUAUAUCAGGUCUGCAAAGAUUCCAUUGCCACAUUCUAGGAUGACUGCCCUCAUUUGGUUCCCCCAGAGCUUUCCCACUGACAACAAUGGCUUUGCAGACGUUGUCUGGAUUCCUCCUUGACUCAACCUCUGGUGCCUUUUUGAAGGUUCUUGGCUUCUGGAAGCCGCUCACACAUCGUGGCCACUCUCCCUGACUUCAGAGCCACACUUGUCACCAUCACAUCACUCACAACGUCACUGUCUCCUCAGCCACCUUCUCCUAUCCCUGAUGAUCUUCUCUCCCUCCUUCUGUCCUUUGUUCCAGGCAACAAUUGCUACCUCCAAUCAGGUGCCGUUUUCCAGCCCUGUUUCCCACUGGGGGAGCCAUGAGUAGAGGUCUCGGGAGAAAGAAGCUGAUUGGGUGACUUCACUUCCUCAAAGCCACGCUCGAGUCUUUUCUAAUUCUGCAGCAGGAAGACUGCCUAGCAGAAAGCUAUUUUUCUUUCCUGGGGCACCAGAGGCUGGCACUGAGGUGUGGAAGGUAGCCAGAACCUCAGGCAGACCUGGAGCUGACUCCCGAGUGUGGAACUCUCUCAGCUGGGCCAUGUGCCACUCAGGUCCAUCUGAGGGACUGCGCUCUUCCCAGAUCAAGCUGCUGUCACCACCUCAGGGGGUACCAGAAGUGGGGUGGCAUUUUCUCUGGCAGCAAAGGGAGCCGUUAAAGCCCAGGGGUGGUAGAUGGUAUGGCUGCACACAGGAUGGGGGUGUUUUGGGGAAGCAUUUUUUGGGAGGUCAGCCCUUAAGACUAUGGUGUGACUGACCUUGAGACAGCAACUGAGCUAAUUUUUCAAAUCCUUGUUCUCCAGUUAAAAAACCAAAAAUGUAAAGAUCUUGUUCAUUUUUCUCAACGCCUCCACCUUGCCAGAAGCACCUGACAUUGCCGUAGCUAAAGAAUACGGGAAAUGUGCCCGACUGCCUGGACAGCGACUGACGUGAUGGAAUCCAGAGAUGUCCCCCCAGUGUCACCCAUGGGCAAGCAGUGCGCUUUAAUGCUGCAGAAGGUGGAGGUGGAAGGAAGGGGUGGAGAAGUGCGGCCUCGGACCAACUGGAAGCAAGUCACCCCACUCAGCUCGACAGGCAUCGGGUGGGGUCACCCACUUUGUCAGCCUCUGCCACCUGUCCCCUGAGCUUCUGCACAGCCACAAAUCAGACUCAGGACCUCCCUCAGCUUUUUCUCUUUUUUUUUCUACUUUCUUUCCUUCUUUAUUUAGAGACAGGUUCUUGCUCUGUCUCCCAGGCUGGAGUGCAGUGGCAUGAUCAUGGCUCACUACAGCCUCGACCUCCCAGUCUCAAGCGAUCCUCCCACUACAGCCUCGACCUCCCAGUCUCAAGCGAUCCUCCCACCUCAGCCUCCCAAGUAACUGGAACUACAGGUACGAACAGGAUCUCUGAGAAGUCAUGAGCACAUGAGAAAAGAUCUCCGACGG
rnacentral:lncRNA from 1 species